CCUACGGGAGGCAGCAGUGAGGAAUAUUGGUCAAUGGACGAGACUCUGAACCAGCCACGUAGCGUGAAGGAUGACUGCCCUAUGGGUUGUAAACUUCUUUUAUAUGGGAAUAAAAUGUUCCACGUGUGGGAUUUUGUAUGUACCAUAUGCAUAAGGCUCGGCUAACUCCGUGCCAGCAGCCGCGGUAAUACGGAGGAUACGAGCGUUAUCCGGAUUUAUUGGGUGUAUAGGGAGCGUAGGUGGAUUGUUAAGUCAGUUGUGAAAGUUUGCGGCUCAACCGUAAAAUUGCAGUUGAAACUGGCAGUCUUGAGUACAGUAGAGGUGAGCGGAAUUCGUGGUGUAGCGGUGAAAUGCUUAGAUAUCACGAGGAACUCCGAUGGCGAAGGCAGUUCACUGGACUGCAACUGACACUGAGGCUCGAAAGUGUGGGUAUCAAACAGGAUUAGAUACCCCAGUAGUC
rnacentral:rRNA from 1 species